rfam:Ornithorhynchus anatinus chromosome 3, whole genome shotgun sequence.
CCCCUCACAGGGUCACACCUGGAGAGUUCCCAGAACUCUCCCAGUCUCAACUAUGGGAGGGAGAGUCAGGCAGAGGCCUAUCCAUUCCAUUCCUAGCUUGGGCAGUGGCUAGUGAGAGGAAGGCACUCUGCUACAAGU